rnacentral:misc_RNA from 1 species
GAAAUGCGAUAAGUAAUGUGAAUUGCAGAAUUCAGUGAAUCAUCGAAUCUUUGAACGCACAUUGCGCCCGCCAGCACUCUGGCGGGCAUGCCUGUUCGAGCGUCAUUUCAACCAUCAAGCCCCCGGGCUUGCGUUGGGGACCUGCGGCUGCCCGCAGGCCCUGAAAACCAGUGGCGGGCUCGCUGUCACCCCGUUCGUAGUAGUAUCAUCUCGUCCAGGGCGUGGCUGCGGGCUCACCACGUUAAACCUCACCAACACCAAAGGUUGACCUCGGAUCAGGUAGGAAUACCCGCUGAACUUAA